rnacentral:rRNA from 1 species
UACGGAGGGUGCAGGCGUUGUCCGGAAUCACUGGGCGUAAAGGGCGCGUAGGCGGCUCAUGAAGGCUGUGGUGAAAGUCCGGGGCUCAACCUCGGAUCGGCCGUGGCGACUCGUGGGCUGGAGCACUGUAGAGGCGGGUGGAAUUCCGGGUGUAGCGGUGGAAUGCGUAGAGAUCCGGAAGAACACCAGUGGCGAAGGCGGCCCGCUGGGCAGUGGCUGACGCUGAGGAGCGAAAGCGUGGGGAGCGAACAGG